UACGUAGGGCGCAAGCGUUGUCCGGAAUUAUUGGGCGUAAAGAGCUCGUAGGCGGCUUGUUGCGUCUGCCGUGAAAUCCCGUGGCUUAACUGCGGGUCUGCGGUGGAUACGGGCAGGCUAGAGGCUGGUAGGGGCAAGCGGAAUUCCUGGUGUAGCGGUGAAAUGCGCAGAUAUCAGGAGGAACACCGGUGGCGAAAGCGGCUUGCUGGGCCAGUUCUGACGCUGAGGCGCGAAAGCGUGGGGAGCGAACAGG
rnacentral:rRNA from 1 species